CAAAGGUUUGGUCCUAGCCUUACUGUCAGCUUUGACCCGAUCUAUACAUGCAAGUCUCCGCCCCCCAGUGAAAAUGCCCCCUUCUUCCAUCCGAAGAGGGGGAGCUGGUAUCAGGCACACCCAUUUAGCCUAAGACGCCUUGCUUCGCCACACCCCCAAGGGUAUUCAGCAGUAAUUAAUAUUAAGCAUAUAAGUGAAAACUUGACUUAAUCAAGGCCAAUAAGAGUCGGUAAAACUCGUGCCAGCCACCGCGGUUAUACGAGAGACUCCAGUUGACAGAACUCGGCAUAAAGAGUGGUUAUAAUACACCCAAAUAAAGCCAAAAAUCUCUAGAGCCGUCAUACGCUUUCCAGAGACAUGAAGCCCUAACACGAAAGUAGCUUUAUGACAUUGAACCCACGAAAGCUAAGAAACAAACUGGGAUUAGAUACCCCACUAUGCCUAGCUGUAAACUUAGAUGUUUCUUCACAAUACACAUCCGCCCGGGUACUACAAGCACAGCUUGAAACUCAAAGGACUUGGCGGUCUCUCAGAUCCAUCUAGAGGAGCCUGUUCUAGAACCGAUACCCCCCGUUAAACCUCACCACUCCUUGCUUCCCCAGCCUAUAUACCGCCGUCGUCAGCUUACCCUGUGAAGGUUAAAAAGUGAGCAAAAAGAGUACACCCCAAAACGUCAGGCCAAGGUGUAGCAUAUGGAGCGGAUUGAAAUGGGCUACAUUUUCUAUAACAGAAUAUUACGAACCACACAAUGAAACAUGUGUAUGAAGGCGGAUUUAGUAGUAAAAAGCAAAUAGAGUGUCUUUUUGAAUCUGGCCCUGAGAUGCGCACACACCGCCCGUCACCCUCCCCUAAUUUUCUAAUAUUUGUAACUAACCAACUAAUCUACCCUCGGGGAGGCAAGUCGUAACAUGGUAAGUGUACCGGAAGGUGUACUUGGAAUCACU
rnacentral:ncRNA from 1 species